rnacentral:rRNA from 1 species
GCAAGUCGAGGGGUAACAGGGAUUGCUUGCAAUCCGCUGACGACCGGCGCACGGGUGCGUAACGCGUAUAGAACCUACCUUUUACUGAGGGAUAGCCUUUAGAAAUGAAGAUUAAUACCUCAUAGUAUUGAGAAGUCUCAUGAUUUUUUAAUUAAAGAUUUAUUGGUAAAAGAUGGCUAUGCGUCCUAUUAGCUAGAUGGUAAGGUAACGGCUUACCAUGGCAACGAUAAGUAGGGGCCCUGAGAGGGGGAUC